rnacentral:lncRNA from 10 species
GAAUGGAAAUUUGGCCUACAGAGCAACACAGAACAAGUCUGUGCAAUGGUAGGGGCAGAAGCCAUCUUUUCAGAGCCAUCAGAAAGUUUCCACCUGCUAUGGCUGAAUGUUUGUGUUCCUCCCAAAUUCAAGUGCUGAAUUCCUAACCCCGAAGGUGAUGGUUUUAGGAGGUGGUGUCUUUGGGGGGUGAUUAGGUUAAGGGAGUGGAGCUCCCCAUGACUGGGAUUAGUGCCCUUAUAAAAGAAAGAGACCCCAGAGAGCUCCCUUGUCCCUUCCACUCUGUGAGGACACAGCAAAAAAAAUGUCGUCUAUGAACCAGGAAGAGAGUCCUCAUCAGACACUGGACCUGUCAAUGCCUCGAUCUUGGACUUCCAGCCGCUGGAACUGUGAGAAACAAAUUUCUGUUGUUUUCAAGCCACCCAGUCUAUGGUAUUUUGUUAUAGCAGCCUAAACAUACUAAGAUACCACCUUAUUUACAAGGGACAGUAAGGAAGAAGGAAGGAAAGUGUCUUUGCUUCAGAGCAGAGCUACCCUAGAAGGGAGUGGUUGAGGACUGCUCAGCCAGUGUGAGGCCCAUUCCCCACCAAUCCCAUUUGAAGGGAGAUGGAGCUGCUGACACCUUCCGGUGGCCUCCUGCGAUGUUGUGAAUCACAGACUUUGUGAAAUGAAAGGUUAAUGAUGUUCAAAACAGAAGAAUAAGGUUCAUCACUCCCACCCCCAACUCCUGUUCCAGGUGCAAGGCCUGGGGUGAGCUCCUUGGUCCGUCCACCUGAGAGCGACUGUGAGAGCUGGAAGCAGCACCGCCCAGCAGUGCUUUCCUCAUGCACAGCCACCUUCUCCAUCUGUGCCGCCCAGUACAGUAACCACGUGGCUGCUGAGCACGUGAAAUGUGGUUACUGUGACCGAGGGGCUGGAUCUGUUAUUUUAUUGAAUUUUAACUAAAAUAGCCUCAUGGGACUAGCAG